rnacentral:rRNA from 1 species
UGGGGAAUCUUGCUCAAUGGGCGAAAGCCUGAAGCAGCGACGCCGCGUGAAGGAUGAAGGCCUUAGGGUCGUAAACUUCUUUUGCGGGGGACAAAAAAAAUGAUGGUACUCCGCGAAUAAGCGCCGGCCAACUACGUGCCAGCAGCCGCGGUAAUAUGUAGGGCGCAAGCGUUGUUCGGAUUUACUAGGUGUAAAGAGUCUGUAGGUGUUUCGGUAAGUUUCGUGUGAAAUUUUUCUGCUUAACGGAAAAACUGCGCGAGAUACUGCCGAAAUUGAGUGCGAGAGAGGUAACUGGAAUUCCCGGUGUAGCAGUGAAAUGCGUAGAUAUCGGGAGGAACACCAAUGGCGAAGGCAGGUUACUGGCUCGUUACUGACACUGAGAGACGAAAGCGUGGGGAGCAAACAGG